rnacentral:tRNA from 1 species
GGCUUGUGGCUCAGUGGUAAUGUACUUGCCUCACAUGUGAGAGCACUGAGUUCAAUCCUCAGCACCA